UACGGUGUGUUCACGCGUUAUCCGGAUUCACUGGGUUUAAAGGGUGCGUAGGUGGGUUUGUAAGUCAGUGGUGAAAUCUCCAAGCUUAACUUGGAAACUGCCGUUGAUACUAUAAAUCUUGAAUGUUGUGGAGGUGAGCGGAAUAUGUCAUGUAGCGGUGAAAUGCUUAGAUAUGACAUAGAACACCAAUUGCGAAGGCAGCUCACUACACAAAGAUUGACACUGAGGCACGAAAGCGUGGGGAUCAAACAGG
rnacentral:rRNA from 1 species